CAAAUCGCAACUGGAUAUUUUUACAUAUUAAAAUUAGCGGAAAAUAUUUAAUAUACUCGAUAAACUUGGACGAGAUGUAAAAAUGUGGUCAAAGUCACUUACACCGAACAAUGGAUUUCGUCCACGUAUGCAAAUUGAUUUUAUUUCCAUUUGGAAUAAUUUUACCAGAGCAUUUGCCUGAAAUGUCAUUAAAGAAUGUUCGCGUAAUACAAUCCGGGUUGAAAUGUUUCAAUUAUUAAUGUCUCUCUGUACGGGAUCGCGAACAGCAGUUCGUCCUGUCAAAGUGCAAACAAUGGACAUUUCCAAUUACUCGGCGAUGCGAAAGCAAUAUCUAAUGCGAUUUCUUUGUCCCGCCCGUUCUCACCGUCACUAAUAUCGUCCGUGUCGACUCGAUCCCCGGGUUAUAAUCAAACGGGAACUUGCGUAAGGAAGGACUCGCAUUAAGAGAAAUGGACCGUGGGGAGCGGUUUUUCGCCGCCGCGCGCCGGUACAAAAUAUCCAACAUGGUGACGUGAGCGUUGUCGCGCGUGACGGGCGCGUUCGAUGCCAUCGAUCGCGCGCGGGCAUCCUGAUCGAUACGCGCGUGUCGCGGCGGGCGAAAGAAACGACGAACGGGUCCGGCGAUCCAUUUUUUCGCGCUCCUCUUCCGCAACGAGCGGGAGCUCCAUUAGUCCGGGAUUGGCCGGCGUGCGCUUGAGCGAGCACCGCGGCGCUUUUUGCGCCGGCCGGGCCGGUUGAAUAAUUGUGUUUUGCAACGUCCGCGGGAGCGCUUAACCGAGCUCCCGGGCACAGAUCCAAAGAAGAAUUAAGCAAAGAGGAGAACCCCUGAAAUGCGGAUCUCUAUAAAAGGGACAAUGGCACCGGGCGAAUCGCGCAGUUUUUGGGACGAUCGCGGGUCGAUCGCACGGAUCAAUCAAGGGGCGUUUGCGCGAAGGGGGACACAAUUCUGCGACAGUAAUUGAGCAUAUUUCUCGUCAGUUGGUUCUAUUCGUAUUGGUGCUUUCGAUCUUGCUUCUGAUCGAUGCAAACCCGGAAGGUCACGCGCACUCUUUCCAACAUUUCCACGGUCCAGUGACAGGCAACGAGCACGAAGUCACAUGGGAUGACGACGACGGCCACUAUCAUGAAGACUACGUCGCUCAUCCCCAUUAUGCUUUUUCGUACGGGGUCGAAGACCACCAUACGGGCGAUUAUCACGGCCAAAAGGAGCACAGAGACGGCACGGACGUAUUCGGGGAGUAUACCGUGAAGGAACCAGACGGCAAUAUUAGAACAGUGAGGUACCGCGCAGGCAAGGACGGAUUUCACGCCAAAGUGCUUAACAGCCUCCGAAACGAUCGUCAACAAGAUGUUGAUCAUUAUUACGAUCGUUAUUAAUUCCCGCGAGGCUUCAUCGAAACUUGGUCGUUUUCUACUACUCCAUACUUUGUUAAUUUUUCAAAUCCAUUAUCCUUGUUAAUCGUCGACAUAUUUCAUUUGCACUCAUUAAAAGAUCAGUAAAGUACUUUAACAUAUUUUCAUUCUCUCAGUUUUUCUUAAUGAAUCACUCUUGUCUAGUUUUACGGCUAGUUUCAUAACGGAGUCAUUAUCGUGAAAGUCUUUCAAUAUUACGAAGUGGCCUUAAAGAUGUUGCGAAAACUCGAUAAGUUUGUCAAUCGCACAAUUUGCAGACUGAACUUCUUUGGAAGGAAUAAUUAUUUCUUCCGUGGAAAUGCAGCAAAUUGUAAUCGUCGACAUUGGAUUGUUAAUAGACUACUUUCCGAGCAAAACUGUUUGACCAAGGAAAUCAUGAGAA
rnacentral:sRNA from 1 species